GUCGUCGACGUACGUCUACGAGAGGUUUCGAUUCUGGCUCAGGACGAACGCUGGCGGCGUGCCUAACACAUGCAAGUCGAGCGGGGACAUUCGACGGAGCGGAAGUUUCGGACGGAAGCGAAGAUGAAUGUUCUAGCGGCGGACGGGUGAGUAACGCGUGAACAAUCUGUCCUUCACAGGGGGAUAACACAGCGAAAGUUGUACUAAUACCGCAUAAGACCACGCUGAGGCAUCUCAGAGGGGUCAAAGGAGCAAUCCGGUGAAGGGUGAGUUCGCGUCCGAUUAGAUAGUUGGUGAGGUAACGGCCCACCAAGUCGACGAUCGGUAGCCGACCUGAGAGGGUGAUCGGCCACAUUGGGACUGAGACACGGCCCAAACUCCUACGGGAGGCAGCAGUGGGGAAUAUUGGGCAAUGGGGGGAACCCUGACCCAGCAACGCCGCGUGAGGGAAGAAGGUUUUCGGAUCGUAAACCUCUGUCCUAGGUGAAGAGGAAGAGACGGUAGCCUAGGAGGAAGCCCCGGCUAACUACGUGCCAGCAGCUGC
rnacentral:rRNA from 1 species